AGCUUUCUGAAUCGGUGCAGAAAUUUCGUCAAACACCAACCCAUUAGGGUUAAUCAUACUCUUAAGAUAAGUGAAGUU
rnacentral:pre_miRNA from 1 species